rnacentral:rRNA from 1 species
UGAAUACGAGAUGCUACGGCAUCGAAGCAGUCUAUGUCAUACUUCCAAGAAAAGCUUGCACUGUCAUAAACAAAUAAUGCCUGUACCAUAACCGACACAGGUGGGUAGGUAGAGUAUACUAAGGGGCGCGAGAUAACUCUCUCUAAGGAACUCGGCAAAAUGACUCCGUAACUUCGGGAGAAGGAGUGCCUUAUUUAUUAAGGUUGCAAUAACAAGAUCCAAGCAACUGUUUAUCAAAAACACAGGUCUCCGCUAAGUCGUAAGACGAUGUAUGGGGGCUGACGCCUGCCCAGUGCCAGAAGGUUAAAGAAGUUGGUUAGCCUUGCGAAGCUGAUGACUGAAGCCCUGGUGAACGGCGGCCGUAACUAUAACGGUCCUAAGGUAGCGAAAUUCCUUGUCGGGUAAGUUCCGACCCGCACGAAAGGCGUAAUGAUUUGGAUACUGUCUCGGAGAGGGGCUCGGUGAAAUAGACUUGUCUGUGAAGAUGCAGACUACCUGCACCUGGACAGAAAGACCCUAUGAAGCUUUACUGGAACUUGAGAUUGAAAUUGGACUUUAUUUGCGCAGUAUAGGUGGGAGACUUUGAGAAUAUUCUUGCGGGAAUAUUGGAGUCAUCAGUGAGAUACCACUCUUGUAAUGUUAGAUUUCUAACUUUGUAUCAUUAUCUGGUCAAAGGACAGUUUCAGGCGGGCAGUUUGACUGGGGCGGUCGCCUCCCAAACGGUAACGGAGGCGCACAAAGGUUUCCUCUGAACGUGUAGAAAUCGUAUCUAGAGUGUAAAGGCAUAAGGAAGCUUGACUGUGAGACCUACAAGUCGAGCAGGGACGAAAGUCGGUCUUAGUGAUCUGACGGUGCUGAGUGGAAAGGCCGUCACUCAACGGAUAAAAGUUACUCUAGGAUAACAGGCUGAUCUCCCCCAAGAGUUCACAUCGACGGGGAGGUUUGGCACCUCGAUGUCGGCUCAUCGCAUCCUGGGGCGGUAGUACGUCCCAAGGGUUGGGCUGUUCGCCCAUGAAAGCGGUACGCGAGCUGGGUUCAGAACGUCGUGAGACAGUUCGGUCCAUAUCCGGUGUAGGCGUUAGAAUAUUGAGAGGAGCCUUCUUUAGUACGAGAGGACCGAGAAGGACAUACCUCUGGUGUACCAGUUAUCGUGCCAACGGUAAACGCUGGGUAGCUAUGUAUGGAGUGGAUAACCGCUGAAAGCAUCUAAGUGGGAAGCCCACCUCAAGAUGAG